rnacentral:tRNA from 1 species
CGUGGAGGCGUGGCGUAACUGGUCUCAACGCAACCGUCUAAUAAACGGUCUGGCUGACGCGAGUGGGUCCGUGGGUUCGAUUCCCACCGCCACGG